GGAAAACCAACAGGACCCUAGAAUGACGUUUUGAAAGAAAAAGAAAUAAAUGAAAAAUAAAUUUUUAUAAAAUUAUGACAUUCUGGAGGUGAAGAGGUUAAAGUCAUGACAAAACCUGCUGAGAAUAUUUCUCUUCUCCCGCCAAAAAAUUUCUAAAGAAUUAAUUCAAUUGAGAAUGCUUACGAAUAUAUGAAAUGAUGAAAAGUCAGAUUUACCAUCUAUGUUCCAGAGUCUCAGGAUUUCAAAUCUUUCUAAGAAAAGCUCCAAGUCUAUUUUUACUCAGUUCUGGCCUGCCAGAAUUAAAGCAGAUAUUAAAUAAUGAAGAAAAUGAAGACCAGAGACAUGAAGGAAACAUAGACUUCUUCAUUGUGAAAAGUUGGCCAGAAGGAAAAAUAUCAUCAAAGCCAUGGAUCCAUUAAUGAUAUUGAUUAUACCUGAGCUCCAGGAAGACCUCUUUCCCCUGGGAAACCACGUAAUCCUGCUGGUCCAUCUUUCCCUGAGAUACCUUGAGGACCUGGAUCACCCUAAAGAAUAUAAUAAACAUCGUCAAGACAGAUUAAUUUCUACACAUCUUUCUACAAACAAAAUUGUGAUUACCUCUAAACUACUAAAAGAAAGAAAUCUGUGAAGGCUGAGAUAUUUUCAUGAAAGAUGUCUGAGAAAAUUUAUGAAUGGUGAGGAACUUCACCUGGACUCAUAGAAACAGAUACUUUGAAAAGGAGGAGAAGAUGGAAGGGCUUUCUAGGAGAGGAAACAGCUUGGGAAAGGAUUCAUUUCUUCUCAGUACAUAAAUUUCGGAGCUAUUGAUGACAGCACAAAAAACAAAACAAAGAAACAGCAACAAAAACUAGGGUUGGCAGAUGUGGAAAACUGAAAGAAAACAUAGUCAACGCAUGUGUGGAAUGAGACUCUCAAUUCACUCUGCAGCUACUGCUCCAGCUAAUUUAGAGCAGUGAUGACAGGCUUGGCUGGGGAGACAUGGCCAGCCCUUUGGAAAUGCACAUUCCCUAACCAUACUGUAAAAUGGUGGGUUUUAUUAACAAUGUAUAGUGCUAACAUAAACCAUUAAAUGAAGCCCACUCAAUUCUGCAAGCCAGUCUGGUUUAUAUUUUAUUUUUUUUCCAAAUGAAAAGUGCUAGAUUAAUAUUCCAGAAGUGUCUAGGACUAGAUCCAUAAAAUAAAAUACCCAAAAAGUUGCAGGAGCCCUCGUAAAAUGUCUGUUUCAUGUGACUUGGCAUGGUGACCAAGUGUAUUUCCAUAUACACUUAAUCUUUGGUCUUUCCACUAGAACAUUCAACUGGCAUAGGUGUCUGCUUGGUUUGAAUUGAGCAAAGAUUUAUAUAAGGAGCUACUUAAUAUAGUGAGAGUAAAAUUUACACAUACUUCAUGCCAAGAAAUCUGGGUCUUCACUUAAGCCAUUCCCAGUAUUAUAGGUAUGUGCUUUUCAUUAACAGAAAAUAAAAACAAUUUCAAUAAUUAAAACUGAUUAGAACUCUAAACUUGAUAUUUUUGUUUAAUUAAUGUAGGCUAUGAUAAUGAUAUGUCAUAAUCAUGGUGUCAUAUAUAAUAUUCAAAAUACCAAAUUAACAUUUAGCCUUAGAGGCAUUCUUAAUUAUUCUCUUUUUCUCAUACUACACACUCCUAUAGUCAGAAAAUUCUAUCAGUUCAUAUAUUCAAAAGUAUAAACAGAAUCCAAUAUCUCUCAAUUUAGUACAAGCUGCCAUCUCUCACAGCUAGACUCCUAACUGGCCUCUGCUUCUACUCUUAUGCAUCCAGAGCCACCUUUUAAAAAUCUAAGUCAGAUCAAGGAUCUGCAUUCUUAAAACUAUCAAAUACAAUACUCACAGUAAAAGCUGAAGCCAUUAUUCUGCUUCACAGGAGGGUCCCCUAUCCUUCUAUGACCUCAUGAGCUCAGACGCCCCCUGGACUCCUGGCAUCCCAGCCACAAGGCUGCCUCUUUUUUGCCCCUUGCACAUGUUCUUCACCCAGGCAGGAUUGUUCUUUCUCCACAUCCCUACAUGGCUAUUCUCUCACUUCCUUUGUGAUUUUGCUCAAUGCAACCUCACUCAAAAAAACAUGAGUGAAACCUCAUGUUUUACUUUGAGGAUUCAUUCAUAUUAAACUGUCCUAUCUAAAAUAGUACACUCUACAUCUCUUAUCUUGAUUUAUUUUCGUUCAAAGAACUAUCAGCACUUCGCAUAUUUAAGCUCCAGGAGUGGAGGAACUUCACCUGGGUUGUUCAUUGCUACAACUGCUGUGCUCUACAGACUGCCAGCCAAGCGGUGGCUAAUAGAUAAAUACUUAUGGAAUGAAUGUUCACUCAUGAUGAAUGUCAUGAUUGUUCUUUAAAAACAUCACAGUGUGCUUAAAUACCAAUAUUUUUGCAUCUAAAUUAUUAUGGCAGUUGAGCUCAACAAGUAUGUCACUUUUUAACUGUCUCAAGUAAAAGUAUAGGACCUACCUAGCACACAGUAAGCAUUUAAUAAAUUGUUAUUGAAG
rnacentral:lncRNA from 10 species